GAAUGUCAAAACGACUCUCGNCAACGGAUAUCUCGGCUCUCGCAUCGAUGAAGAACGUAGCGAAAUGCGAUACUUGGUGUGAAUUGCAGAAUCCCGUGAACCAUCGAGUCUUUGAACGCAAGUUGCGCCCGAAGCCUUCGGGCCGAGGGCACGCCUGCCUGGGCGUCACGCAUCGCGUC
rnacentral:rRNA from 1 species